rnacentral:rRNA from 1 species
GUCGAACGGAACUGUUUUGAAAGACUUCUUCGGAAUGAAUUUGAUUUAGUUUCGUUUCGGACGGGUGGGUAACGCGUGAGUAACCUGCCUUCAAGAGGGGAAUAACAUUCUGAAAAGAAUGCUAAUACCGCAUGACAUAUCGGAACCACAUGGUUUUGAUAUCAAAGAUUUUAUCGCUUGAAGAUGGACUCGCGUCCGAUUAGUUAGUUGGUGAGGUAACGGCUCACCAAGACCGCGAUCGGUAGCCGGACUGAGAGGUUGAACGGCCACAUUGGGACUGAGACACGGCCCAGACUCCUACGGGAGGCAGCAGUGGGGGAUAUUGCGCAAUGGGGGCAACCCUGACGCAGCAACGCCGCGUGAAGGAUGAAGGUUUUCGGAUUGUAAACUUCUUUUAUUAAGGACGAAAAAUGACGGUACUUAAUGAAUAAGCUCCGGCUAACUACGUGCCAGCAGCCGCGGUAAUACGUAGGGAGCAAGCGUUGUCCGGAUUUACUGGGUGUAAAGGGUGCGUAGGCGGCUUUGCAAGUCAGAUGUGAAAUCUAUGGGCUCAACCCAUAAACUGCAUUUGAAACUGUAGAGCUUGAGUGAAGUAGAGGCAGGCGGAAUUCCCCGUGUAGCGGUGAAAUGCGUAGAGAUGGGGAGGAACACCAGUGGCGAAGGCGGCCUGCUGGGCUUUAACUGACGCUGAGGCAC